CCUACGGGAGGCUGCAGCGGGGAAUAUUGGACAAUGGGGGCAACCCUGAUCCAGCCAUGCCGCGUGUGUGAAGAAGGCCCUCGGGUUGUAAAGCACUUUCAGUGAGGAAGAACGCCUGGUGGUUAAUACCCAUCAGGAAAGACAUCACUCACAGAAGAAGCACCGGCUAACUCCGUGCCAGCAGCCGCGGUAAUACGGAGGGUGCGAGCGUUAAUCGGAAUUACUGGGCGUAAAGCGCGCGUAGGUGGCUUGAUAAGCCGGUUGUGAAAGCCCCGGGCUCAACCUGGGAACGGCAUCCGGAACUGUCAAGCUAGAGUGCAGGAGAGGAAGGUAGAAUUCCCGGUGUAGCGGUGAAAUGCGUAGAGAUCGGGAGGAAUACCAGUGGCGAAGGCGGCCUUCUGGACUGACACUGACACUGAGGUGCGAAAGCGUGGGUAGCAAACAGGAUUAGAUACCCUAGUAGUC
rnacentral:rRNA from 1 species